AUUACUCCUACGGGAGGCAGCAGUGGGGAAUCUUGGUCAAUGGGCGCAAGCCUGAACCAGCGACGCCGCGUGAGUGAUGAAGGCCUUCGGGUUGUAAAGCUCUGUGGGGAGGAAAGAAAAAACCAAGUCGAAUAGGCUUGGGAAUUGACGGUACCUCCUUAGCAAGCACCGGCUAACUCUGUGCCAGCAGCCGCGGUAAU
rnacentral:rRNA from 1 species